rnacentral:rRNA from 1 species
UACGAAGGGGGCUAGCGUUGCUCGGAAUCACUGGGCGUAAAGCGCACGUAGGCGGCUUUCUAAGUCAGGGGUGAAAUCCUGGAGCUCAACUCCAGAACUGCCUUUGAUACUGGAGAGCUUGAGUCCGGGAGAGGUGAGUGGAACUCCGAGUGUAGAGGUGAAAUUCGUAGAUAUUCGGAAGAACACCAAUGGCGAAGGCAGCUUGCUGGGCCAUAUCUGACGCUGAGACACGAAAGCGUGGGGAGCGAACAGG